rnacentral:tRNA from 1 species
GGGAGUAUAGCUCAGCUGGGAGAGCACUUGCCUUACAAGCUAGGGGUCACAGGUUCGAUCCCUGUUACUCCCACCA